rnacentral:misc_RNA from 1 species
UGGUUCUGGCAUNGAUGAAGAACGCAGCGAAAUGCGAUAAGUAAUGUGAAUUGCAGAAUUCAGUGAAUCAUCGAAUCUUUGAACGCACAUUGCGCCCUUUGGUAUUCCGAGGGGCAUGCCUGUUCGAGCGUCAUUUCAACCCUCAAGCUCAGCUUGGUCUUGGGCCCUGCCGGUAACGGCUGGCCUUAAACAUAGUGGCGGUGCUCUUCAGCUCUACGCGUAGUAAUUUUACCCUCGCGAUUGAGUUGGUGGGGCUACGAGCCAGCAACCCUUAUUUUUUCUUGGUUGACCUCGGAUCAGGUAGGGAUACCCGCUGA